rnacentral:rRNA from 1 species
CGCUGUGAAGAUGCAGUGUACCCGCGGCAAGACGGAAAGACCCCGUGAACCUUUACUAUAGCUUGACACUGAACAUUGAGCCUUGAUGUGUAGGAUAGGUGGGAGGCUUUGAAGUGUGGACGCCAGUCUGCAUGGAGCCGACCUUGAAAUACCACCCUUUAAUGUUUGAUGUUCUAACGUUGGCCCGUAAUCCGGGUUGCGGACAGUGUCUGGUGGGUAGUUUGACUGGGGCGGUCUCCUCCUAAAGAGUAACGGAGGAGCACGAAGGUUGGCUAAUCCUGGUCGGACAUCAGGAGGUUAGUGCAAUGGCAUAAGCCAGCUUGACUGCGAGCGUGACGGCGCGAGCAGGUGCGAAAGCAGGUCAUAGUGAUCCGGUGGUUCUGAAUGGAAGGGCCAUCGCUCAACGGAUAAAAGGUACUCCGGGGAUAACAGGCUGAUACCGCCCAAGAGUUCAUAUCGACGGCGGUGUUUGGCACCUCGAUGUCGGCUCAUCACAUCCUGGGGCUGAAGUAGGUCCCAAGGGUAUGGCUGUUCGCCAUUUAAAGUGGUACGCGAGCUGGGUUUAGAACGUCGUGAGACAGUUCGGUCCCUAUCUGCCGUGGGCGCUGGAGAACUGAGGGGGGCUGCUCCUAGUACGAGAGGACCGGAGUGGACGCAUCACUGGUGUUCGGGUUGUCAUGCCAAUGGCACUGCCCGGUAGCUAAAUGCGGAAGAGAUAAGUGCUGAAAGCAUCUAAGCACGAAACUUGCCCCGAGAUGAGUUCUCCCUGACUCCUUGAGAGUCCUGAAGGAACGUUGAAGACGACGACGUUGAUAGGCCGGGUGUGUAAGCGCAGCGAUGCGUUGAGCUAACCGGUACUAAUGAACCGUGAGGCUUAACCUU